rnacentral:rRNA from 1 species
UACAGAGGGUGCGAGCGUUAAUCGGAAUUACUGGGCGUAAAGCGCGCGUAGGCGGCUUUGCAAGUCGGGUGUGAAAUCCCCAGGCUUAACCUGGGAACUGCAUUCGAGACUGCAUUGCUAGAGUAUGGGAGAGGGAAGUGGAAUUUCAGGUGUAGCGGUGAAAUGCGUAGAUAUCUGAAGGAACAUCAGUGGCGAAAGCGACUUCCUGGACCAAUACUGACGCUCAUGUGCGAAAGCGUGGGGAGCAAACAGGG